GCUUCUUCUGGACAACUCUCAGCUCCUGUUUGUCUCCAGAUCUAAAGACUCUCUUCUUCUCCUUGAGGAGAGCCUUAAUUUCAGGAUUUAUCCAUGGCUUGUUGUUAGAAAAACACCGUACCUUUUUGAUGGGUAUGGUGUUGUCCACACAGAAGUUCAUGUAAUCCGUAAUGCAGUCUGUGAUGCUGUUGAGGUCAUCCUCCAGGGGGCUGCAGAGGUUGUCCCACACAGUAGAAUGGAACUGCUGAUACUGGCUGCCAGCUCAGAGCGGUGCCGGAAGUGAUGUUACUACACUUUACACGGACGAAAAUGUGUAACACCACGUCCCCCCUGGCUGCCCUCAAGUGGCUCUGUCCAUUAUCUCACUGUUUGAAUCGGAGUGAAGGACACGGGGAAGCAGGUUCGGACUGGAUUCUGUUAAGGGAAAUGUUCUGACAAACGCUACACCAGAAAAUCAUGGAGGAUUUGGAUGAUUGCAACCUUUCGGUUUUAAAUGGAUGAAACUAAAGAAAAGGCGUCUCAUGGAUAUCUCACCAUGUGAAGAGGGAGAAGAUUAUGAUGCAGAUUCAAGUGGUGGAUCAAACAUGCUUUUGCCACCAAGGAGCAGUUCUGGUGACAACAGUUCCCUGUUCAGGGCACUACCAACUCUCUUCCCAUCAAGAGCUGCACCACCCAAGAAGAUGGGACAUGCCAGUGAAGCACUGAUUCAUGUCCUUCAGAAGAUCCAGCAUCAGCCCUGUUCUGGUCUUUGAAGGGUCCCGCUGUCUUAUUGCAGUUGGAACCACUCCCAUCACCACAUUUGCCACAGAUGACCUUGGAGAAGGUUUGCUGUAUCUUAUGGCAUACUACUACACCCUGCAUCUCACCUAUCCUAAAUGUGUCGCAACGCUUCUGUCUGUCAUUCAGACUGAAGUGUUAAAGGACAAUAUCCAUGAGCAAGACACCACAGGCUCAUACAAAAAAGUCAUGGCAGGCUGUAGAACUUUUUAUUGAGAAGUAGAGCUGUUUGAGCAACAUGUAACUUAGGUCUGUGUUGAAAGGUUUGCACCUGAUAGCUUUGAAGUUGCAAUUUACACUUGAAUUCUUCUUUUUUUGUAUUCUUAUUAACGUAGUACAAAGUGCUUUUUCCUUAAACACAUCUGUUCUGCAAAUUCUGUUUAAAAUUGCAAAUGCUCUUUUUAUUACAUUUUAUAUGUUGAGUAGCUAACUGGUUUAGCAGUUCUAAAAGGAACACAAAAUAACAAUGUUACACUUACAAUGUGUCUUUAAAUUUUUGUGUACUAUGAUUGACUGAAAUAUUUGUUACUGUUUGGAGAGUUUGUUUCCAAUAAAGGUCAUGUACAAGGUAUACUUUGCCUGAC